UCAGAAGUGCGAAUGCUGACAUAAGUAACGAUAAAGCGGGUGAAAAGCCCGCUCGCCGGAAGACCAAGGGUUCCUGUCCAACGUUAAUCGGGGCAGGGUGAGUCGACCCCUAAGGCGAGGCCGAAAGGCGUAGUCGAUGGGAAACGGGUUAAUAUUCCCGUACUUGGUGUUACUGCGAAGGGGGGACGGAGAAGGCUAUGUUGGCCGGGCGACGGUUGUCCCGGUUUAAGCGUGUAGGUGUGUGUUCCAGGUAAAUCCGGUUCACUUUAACACUGAGGCGUGACGACGAGGCACUACGGUGCUGAAGCAACAAAUGCCCUGCUUCCAGGAAAAGCCUCUAAGCAUCAGGUAACAUCAAAUCGUACCCCAAACCGACACAGGUGGUCAGGUAGAGAAUACCAAGGCGCUUGAGAGAACUCGGGUGAAGGAACUAGGCAAAAUGGUGCCGUAACUUCGGGAGAAGGCACGCUGACACGUAGGUGAAGUGAUUUACUCAUGGAGCUGAAGUCAGUCGAAGAUACCAGCUGGCUGCAACUGUUUAUUAAAAACACAGCACUGUGCAAACACGAAAGUGGACGUAUACGGUGUGACGCCUGCCCGGUGCCGGAAGGUUAAUUGAUGGGGUCAGCGCAAGCGAAGCUCCUGAUCGAAGCCCCGGUAAACGGCGGCCGUAACUAUAACGGUCCUAAGGUAGCGAAAUUCCUUGUCGGGUAAGUUCCGACCUGCACGAAUGGCGUAAUGAUGGCCAGGCUGUCUCCACCCGAGACUCAGUGAAAUUGAACUCGCUGUGAAGAUGCAGUGUACCCGCGGCAAGACGGAAAGACCCCGUGAACCUUUACUAUAGCUUGACACUGAACAUUGAGCCUUGAUGUGUAGGAUAGGUGGGAGGCUUUGAAGUGUGGACGCCAGUCUGCAUGGAGCCGACCUUGAAAUACCACCCUUUAAUGUUUGAUGUUCUAACGUGGACCCGUUACCCGGGUUGCGGACAGUGUCUGGUGGGUAGUUUGACUGGGGCGGUCUCCUCCUAAAGAGUAACGGAGGAGCACGAAGGUUGGCUAAUCCUGGUCGGACAUCAGGAGGUUAGUGCAAUGGCAUAAGCCAGCUUGACUGCGAGCGUGACGGCGCGAGCAGGUGCGAAAGCAGGUCAUAGUGAUCCGGUGGUUCUGAAUGGAAGGGCCAUCGCUCAACGGAUAAAAGGUACUCCGGGGAUAACAGGCUGAUACCGCCCAAGAGUUCAUAUCGACGGCGGUGUUUGGCACCUCGAUGUCGGCUCAUCACAUCCUGGGGCUGAAGUAGGUCCCAAGGGUAUGGCUGUUCGCCAUUUAAAGUGGUACGCGAGCUGGGUUUAGAACGUCGUGAGACAGUUCGGUCCCUAUCUGCCGUGGGCGCUGGAGAACUGAGGGGGGCUGCUCCUAGUACGAGAGGACCGGAGUGGACGCAUCACUGGUGUUCGGGUUGUCAUGCCAAUGGCACUGCCCGGUAGCUAAAUGCGGAAGAGAUAAGUGCUGAAAGCAUCUAAGCACGAAACUUGCCCCGAGAUGAGUUCUCCCUGAGACUUA
rnacentral:rRNA from 1 species